AACGAACGCUGGCGGCAUGCCUAACACAUGCAAGUCGAACGAGACCAUCGGGUGUAGUGGCGCACGGGGGCGUAACGCGUGGGAACCUGCCCUUAGGUUCGGAAUACCUCCCCGACAGGGGUCCUAAUACAGGAUAAUGUCUUCGGACAAAAGAUAGAUCGCCUUUGGGUGGGCCCGCGUUGGAUUAGCUAGUUGGUAGGGUAAAAGCCUACCACGGCGACGAUCGAUAGCUGGUCAGAGAGGAUGAUCAGCCACACUGGGACUGAGACACGGCCCAGACUCCUACGGGAGGGAGCAGUGGGGAAUAUUGGACAAUCGGCGAAGGCCUGAUCCAGCAAUGCCGCGUGAGUGAUGAAGGCCUUAGAGUUGUAAAGCUCGUUUACCCGGGAUGAUAAUGACGGUACCGGGAGAAUAAGCUCCGGCUAACUCCGUG
rnacentral:rRNA from 1 species